CACGUGUUCAUUCUCUUCUCCAGAGAUCUUCAGACAGAGCAGACGCAAACAGCAUGAGCGGAUGCAGUGUGGUUGUUGAUUGGCCAUCUGAACCCCAAUACUUGUCAUCUGAACCACCCGACUGAAGAGAGGCUAGUUAACUACUAUGCCUUAGUAGUUAUGUCUUAGUAGGCUCCGAUGUUUGCAAGGCCUUGAGGUCAGAGUCAUGCAGAGGAGUCAUUCUCUGCCUGUUGUACAAAGAUGUCUCAGUUUGUUCCUGGGAUGCAGCAGAUGUCCUAAUCAUAUGGAGCCUGUAAGGCUGAGUAGCCUGCCAGGAACAAUGCAUGGCACCUUUCACCCAUCGCAUCAUUCGCUAACCGUUAC